rnacentral:rRNA from 1 species
GACGAACCGGGCAAACGUUAUUCGGAAUCACUGGGCUUAAAGGGUGCGUAGGCGGUCCUGAAAGUUGGGUGUGAAAUCCCUCGGCUUAACCGAGGAAUUGCGCCCAAAACUACAGGGCUAGAGGAAGACAGGGGUAAGCGGAACUGAUGGUGGAGCGGUGAAAUGCGUUGAUAUCAUCAGGAACACCAGUGGCGAAGGCGGCUUACUGGGUCUUUUCUGACGCUGAGGCACGAAAGCUAGGGGAGCAAACGGG